rnacentral:lncRNA from 1 species
UAUGAGAAAGCGGAAGAAGAAAGUAGCAACGUGUAAAUUUCACUUUUUUUUUUUUUUGUAAACUAUAAAUUUCAUUUUAUUUCAUGCAAAGAUUUUGAGAUUUUAUAGAGCAUGAUUAUUGGGAGGUUUUUAGGUUGGGGUUCUUAACGGAAUAUAAGAACCCGUCUCUUAACUUUUAACUAAAAAAACUAAUAAACGGUUCUUAGAGCAUCAUUAACGCAGGGUUCUUAGUACAAGGUUCUUAGCAGAAUAUAAGAACCCGACUCUUAACUUUUAAUUUGUACUAAGAAUUCUGCGUUAAUGAUAUUCUUAAAUAUCUUAUUUAAGAACCGGUUCUUAGCUUUUUUAGUUAAAAGUUAAGAGACGGGUUCUUAUAUUCCGUUAAGAACUCCACUCUAAAAACCCCACAGUAAUCAUGCUAUAUAUAAGUAUUUGUGACCCGUGUGAUAAGAAUGUGAUGUGAGUUGGUGAGAUAAGAUUUGUGUUAAUUGCUAAAAGCAACAAAA